rnacentral:rRNA from 1 species
CCUACGGGGGGCAGCAGUGGGGGAUAUUGCACAAUGGGGGAAACCCUGAUGCAGCGACGCCGCGUGGGUGAAGAAGCGCCUCGGCGCGUAAAGCCCUGUCAGCAGGGAAGAAAAUGACGGUACCUGAAGAAGAAGCCCCGGCUAACUACGUGCCAGCAGCCGCGGUAAUACGUAGGGGGCAAGCGUUAUCCGGAUUUACUGGGUGUAAAGGGGGCGCAGACGGCGAUGCAAGCCAGGAGUGAAAGCCCGGGGCCCAACCCCGGGACUGCUCUUGGAACUGCGUGGCUAGAGUGCAGGAGGGGCAAGCGGAAUUCCUGGUGUAGGGGUGAAAUGCGUAGAUAUCAGGAGGAAAACCGGUGGCGGAGGCGGCCUGCUGGACUGCAACUGACGUUGAGGCCCGAAAGCGUGGGGAGCAAACAGGAUUAGAUACCCCUGUAGUC